CUCAGAGAGCGACCAGGAGGGUUGAUCGUUGACGCUGCGGCGGCUGGAGGGAGGUGGCGGCAGGCGCGGUGGCGGUCCCGCUACCUCAGCGGAACCAAGCGUGAAGGGUCUCAAAGAUGGUGCCCAUUUUGCCUGAUGCUCUUCCUGUCUCACAUCUAGCUUUGAAACCUCAUACUGUUGAAAUACUUGUCCCUUGCUUAGGAUGCUACAGCACAGUGCUCAACAUGAAGAGUUCCCAUGAAUCGUGGCCUUUGUGAUAUUUUCUUCUUUGACACAUUUUCGGCAUAAGGUAUUGGGUAAUAUAUCCUAUUCCCUGAGACUUGGAUUUGAAUAAGUUCACCUUGGGGUUUUAGAAAGGUUGAGAGACAAGCUCUCAGAAACCCAGUGAGUACACUCUGGUGUAAAGAUAGCAUUUCCCCUGUAGGUGGCGACUGGUAGACAGGAAUUUUGCUGGUAAUUUUCAGACCAAAGCUACAAGCUGCAAAACACUGGCGAUGUUGUGAUAAGCAUUUCCCACGAAUAAUACUCAGAUUAUUCAAGGAGUGAAGUAAGAGCCUGGCAGAUACUCAGACACAUUCCUUUAAAUCCCCGAUGACCUUUUUUUUUUUCAUGUGAAUAAGAGAAAGUAGUACGUCUGCAGCAUCAUGGGAAAUUAAUCCAAGAUAGACAGCAGCUUUCUUGUCUGGAGGUGUUGAGAAAAGGUGUUUCCCAAUAAAGUGCUAAAGAAGAGAAGAAAACGACUAAAGGACUUGUCGGACAGGUCUGCCAGCUGCUUGUGCGUAUAGUUUUUAACUAGCUGCCUUCCUUGCUAUCAUGGAUUCACCAUAGCAUGCAGAGUUAUAUAAACACAUUAUUUAUUUUGUUUUCUUUUUUAUUUGUUUAUUGGUUGUUUUUUGAGACAUUAUCAUGUUUCCCAGGCUGGCCUCAAAUAGCCUUAGAUUCCCUAUGUAUUCAAGUAUGGCCUUGAACUUCUGGCCUUCCUGGCUCUAUCUCCUGAGUGCUGGGAUUCCAGGUCCAUGCCCACCUUGCCUGGUUUAUGUAGUGUUUGGGAUGGGACCCAGGGUUUUGUGCAUAAGGAAAACAGGAAAUUAAUUUGUACUGAGAUAAAUUAAUGGCUCUGUUUUUCUCCUUUCCUGGGUUCCCUUCCUUUUGUUUGGGUUCUGGUUUUGAGACAGAAUCUUAUAUAUCCUAUGCUGGCCUUGAUCUAGUGAUCCUUCCGUGUCUACCUCCUGAUCGCUGG
ensembl:lncRNA